AGGGAAUCUUCCACAAUGGACGCAAGUCUGAUGGAGCAACGCCGCGUGAGUGAAGAAGGUUUUCGGACCGUAAAGCUCUGUUGUUGGUGAAGAAGGAUAGAGGUAGUAACUGGCCUUUAUUUGACGGUAAUCAACCAGAAAGUCACGGCUAACUACGUGCCAGCAGCCGCGGUAAUACGUAGGUGGCAAGCGUUGUCCGGAUUUAUUGGGCGUAAAGCGAGCGCAGGCGGAAGAAUAAGUCUGAUGUGAAAGCCCUCGGCUUAACCGAGGAAUUGCAUCGGAAACUGUUUUCUUGAGUGCAGAAGAGGAGAGU
rnacentral:rRNA from 1 species